rnacentral:rRNA from 1 species
GAUGAACGCUGGCGGCGCGCCUAACACAUGCAAGUCGAACGGCACCCCUCUCCGGAGGGAAGCGAGUGGCGAACGGCUGAGUAACACGUGGAGAACCUGCCCCCUCCCCCGGGAUAGCCGCCCGAAAGGACGGGUAAUACCGGAUACCCCGGGGUGCCGCAUGGCACCCCGGCUAAAGCCCCGACGGGAGGGGAUGGCUCCGCGGCCCAUCAGGUAGACGGCGGGGUGACGGCCCACCGUGCCGACAACGGGUAGCCGGGUUGAGAGGCCGACCGGCCAGAUUGGGACUGAGACACGGCCCAGACUCCUACGGGAGGCAGCAGUGGGGAAUCUUGCGCAAUGGGGGGAACCCUGACGCAGCGACGCCGCGUGCGGGACGGAGGCCUUCGGGUCGUAAACCGCUUUCAGCAGGGAAGAGUCAAGACUGUAC